UACGAAGGGGGCUAGCGUUGCUCGGAAUCACUGGGCGUAAAGGGUGCGUAGGCGGGUCUUUUAAGUCAGGGGUGAAAUCCUGAAGCUCAACUCCAGAACUGCCUUUGAUACUGAGGAUCUUGAGUUCGGGAGAGGUGAGUGGAACUGCGAGUGUAGAGGUGAAAUUCGUAGAUAUUCGCAAGAACACCAGUGGCGAAGGCGGCUCACUGGCCCGAUACUGACGCUGAGGCACGAAAGCGUGGGGAGCAAACAGG
rnacentral:rRNA from 1 species